GCCCACUUGUACCUGAGCACUGUAAAUCAUCACAAGUUUUCUGCACAGUGCCAGACAUCCUCAGAUCAUCACAAGAACACGGUGCUGCCGUAAUUCAGACACUGAUCUCAGUUGCUGCUGCAGGAGAAGCCCUCCGGAGACAAUCUAGGACUGGACUUAUAAGCCACUGUCAGAGAUGACCUCUAUUAGGUGAAACUGUAGGUAACCAUGCUCAGAAAUGAGAGGAAGGCAUGUGCUAACAGGUCUGUAUGCCAUUCAUCUGCUUUUCAGGUCAUUUUAAGAGAGAAUACCAAUUGUCAGAAAAACAGAUAUUUAUAAAAGGGGAAACAGUACAUCAGACACGUAGUGAUUUUCCACAAUACUUUCACUUUAAGUACGUAUAGAUAUUCUUUGGUAUAUCCAUUAUAUGCUACGCUUCGAACAACUCAAUAAUCCAAUUGCUGCGUUGAGAAAAAACGUGUUUGUCUUUUUUAAAAGAAAAUCAACAAUUCGGUCACAACUUUCAUAAAUGCAUAAUCUGUGUUUAAGCACACAUCUCAUGGGCAUUCGUAGCACUAUCUGUUCAAAACGGAUCACUGAAAUCACUGAAAAAAAUUACCUGUCAAUAUGAAAUAAAAAUUGGUGAGUUAAGAGUGAAAUGAGCAUUUACUAUUAAUUAUUUAAAUAAGCAAAGCUCCAUGUUCUUGAGUACUGAUGGAAAAUAUUUUUUAUUAUCUAUGGAAGUUAUAUACCUAUUGAGAAGUUACUGCAUUUUGUACUUGGUAUGUCAUUUUUAAUGAGAGAAAGUCUAAAUGCUUCAUGAAGAUUAACAAGCAUGUAAGAAGUAUCAACUAAAAGAACUAAUAAACUUUCAUUAAAGACUAAUUAUUAUUACUCCCAGGGAGAAUCAGCUCCUGACCCAUCCAGGCCAAUUACACUCAUACCCCACAUGAAAGAGCACAUUUUAGCCACCGCUGCAAUACUUAAGCUUCAUCAAAGCUUAAGUUAACAAACUCUUGGCCUGCACAAACCAUCAGAGCUGGUGAAAAAAGACUCCUAGAGGCAGUUAGGUAAAAGCCCAGAAAGCUCACAUAUCUGUUUUCCCCUAAGCAGAAAGGUUUUGGCAGGUUUAUUUGCUUGUUUUUAUGCUGGGAAUGUAUGGUUUUUCCUGGACUCUGUCCUAUCUUUCAGGAAGAAGAAGAAAUUUUAACUAAAAGAAAAUAUAAAGACUGUUGGAAGGUUGGGUUUUUUUUUUUCAUACGCUGAGAAGAGUGAGCAAAAGAAUAUGCUUAUUCUUGCCUCAUAUAAUAAAAGCUGUAGUUAUCCAUUUAUUUAAGAUUAAACAGGUUAUUUUCAAGCUACAUUAUUUAUAGGCUUCAAUGAUUACAGAUAUUUUGUAAACCAAAAAAAUUAUAAUUAUUAGAUUGAAAACAGAUGUAGGUCAAUGCAAUGUAACACUUUACAUAACAAUCAAUAAAAAUGUCAAUACAAACAACUACUAAAGCACCAUAUGACAUUUCAGCGGGGAAAAAAAAUCUUCAUUUUCUACUUAGAUGCUUUCCUUCCUUUAUCAGCAGAUGGCAAGCAAAUUACUAGUUCAAUCCAUAUGUCUGUAUCUGAUAGACAGUGUUUUACAAGUCUGAAAUUAGUUUAAAACAUUUUGAUGUUGGCCAGACUACAGAGGAAAACAGGAUAACUUUGUCUAUUAAUGAAAAGUUGGUUUUGUCAUAACAAAUACUUCCACAAGCUACUACCCAUCCAGAUCCACUCAGUCGCUAAUGGAAUUUGUACCCAAAGACAUAAUCUGUGUUUAACAGACUAACAAUUUGUAGUUUCAUCCAUUCUGCUCUUCUGCUGUGCUCCAACACGUCUCCUUACCCUAGCUGAGGUUUACUCAGCAAUGCUGCUGAAAGAAAUCAAGGCCACAAGAAUAUUUUUGGUAGGAAGGAUAUCAGAUCUCUAGGGCCCUUUAUGUUUGGCUGGUAGGCAGUCAAGAGAGAACCUGUCAGAGCAAGGACUAUUCAGACCAGCGCCCUGUCUCCAACCAUGGCAAAGUGCAGAUGUCUAGGAGAAAAGGUAAUUUAGAAAAUUUUGCUUAAUCUCUCCCCACUGGGAAGCCUUAAUUUACAAUGCAGACAAUAUAUACUUUAAGAAAGGCUGGCUGGGAAGUCUACACAGCCAGUAUAACAGAAUGUUCUAUGUUCAACGCGGACAGCUGAAUGGAGGUCCUGCUAGCUUCCUAACACUUAGAAAAUGUAGGUGUUUUGCCAAGGACCUACAGACCUGUCACAGACGGAUUAUUUCUCAGCUUACUGAUUAAUGCUCUUCCCUCACAACAGUGAAAUAACUGGGGGACUGCUGUCCAAAACAUCUUCUUGCUUCACUUGUUAAGAAGGGUAUUGAAUAUUCUGGACAGGCCGUCAUUCACUCACUGACAGGGCACAUUUUGGGCAAAAGCUCAGCCAAGAGCCACACCAAGUCAACCUGAAGUAAUACAGCUCAGAGCCUUGUUCUCCUGAGAUAUGAAUGGCCAUUCACAAGGUCUGCCCAAAGGUGAGUCUUACACUAGGAGUUACUUAGCAGAACAUCCCACUGAGACAGCCUAAACUGAGGGAACAAAUUUAAAAGACAUUUAAUUUUUGUAAAAGAAGUCCCUACAUCAAUUCUGUUCUGACAGUCAUUAUGGAUGUUCAUUGCAAAGACCUCUACCCUUCAACCAUUUAGUUGACUAUUAUAAGGCAAAGACACAUUGAUUAAGUGCCAAUUAAGCUUACAGUCCUUUAUGCAUGAAAGGGUAUGUUUAAAAAUUAAGCCAUAUUUAAAACUUCUACUAAGCAGAACAUAAUUUUCUGUAAUGGAAAAAUCAGUAAAGUUGGAACAUACUCUUUGCUUUAAAAAUGAUUAAUAUUAGUACUAUUAGCCAUUUUGCUGAACAACUGCAGGAGAUUCUGUGAUCAGUAGAGAGGUAUUUUCAAUUUAAAAAUGAAUCCUAUUUCUUAAAUUUCAUUCUUAUUUUUAAACUAGUAAACAGACAAGUAAAACACACGUACAUGCAGAAGCAAACAAAGGUGCCAAGUUGUUUACAAGAAUUAAAGGCUUUGAAGCCAACAAGAUUUUAAUCAAGAUUUCCAUUAACUCUCUCUGCUCCUCAAACCAUGCGCAAGGUAGGUUUUGAAAGAACUUUAAACAAAAGGAAGUAUCUAAGUUUCCAGUAUACCUCAGUCAAAUAUAAAACAAUUUUAGUAAUAUAGAAACAGGCACUGUGCUACUGCCAAUGGAGAGCUUUUUGUCUUCUCUAUCGGCUGUAGAGAGGAAUGCCAAAACCACCACCACAGCUGAGUCUAUUAACUGAAUUGUGAAAAUCUGUUUCUCAAGAAAAUGUAUUCUACACAAUGCAAACUUUUACAUGGGUCUGGAAUAAGUCCACUCUAGGUUGGGAGAGCAGCUGUUAUGAAAUGUUGAAACAAUAGGGUGUACAUGUCAGUAUUUUCUCUUCUAACUCAGCAACAUAACACCGUGAACAUUAAAGCAGUUACUAUCAGAAAAAGAACUCUUAAAUAUGUAAAGAUACCAUUCUCCAUUCAUUUUAUAAAGAGGAUAAUAGUAGUACAUUAAGUCUUUGAUUUGAAAGUUUUCACCAACCUUGCAGCGUCUGCCUUACAGCCUUUUAGUCAUGUACAGACUGGAGAAGUGAGAGCUUUGAAGUGCCCAACUUCCAGUGAAGUUCCUAACAUUUAUUUUAAUAGGUCUCAAGAGGUCUGCAUGUGAUUUACUGUAACUUCAGAACAAGAUCAGAAAUUCACCCCAACAAAAAAAGAUACAAUUUCUUCGUGAAAGAAUGGGAGAGUCAUUUGAGCGCCAUAUCACUGCGGGGAGGUGUGGGCAAAGCAGCAGGAAAAUAAUUUGGCAGCGUGAUCAAGUGAAACUCAAAAAUACUGGCUAUAUGCAAGAAGACUGCCAGAAAUUUAAGGGAAUGAGACAGGUUUUCUAUAGAUGAGUUUUUUCUUCUUUUUUUUUUUUUUUUCAUCCAGUAAAUAUAGUUUAAGUGCUUCACAGCCCAUUUUUAUAAUUGUAACGAGCAGCUGUGAUCAAACUCUAUUUGUGGCAUCAUAAUAAAUUUGCCCCCCACCUACUAAAAUUAGUUCUAACCAUCCAAAAUUCUCAUUUGAACAUCUGACUGAACAAAACAGGCAUUGCUACAUGCCAGAAACUGGAGGAAAUAGACCUAAAAUAUGCCAUUUUCUCACCAGAAAUUGCAGGCUCCCAGAAUAACAUAUGAAUUAAAACCCAUUCCAAGACUGUUUGCAUUGCUCCUCAUUACCAUUCAUAACAAAUUCCUUGACAAAUGUUCUGAUUAUUUCUCUUUUUUUCCUUGCCUUUUUUAUUUAAACACAAUUUUCAAAUCACUGAUGGUCCUGCAAGG